AUUGAACGCUGGCGGCAUGCCUUACACAUGCAAGUCGAACGGCAGCACGGGAGCAAUCCUGGUGGCGAGUGGCGAACGGGUGAGUAAAGUAUCGGAACGUGCCCAGUCGUGGGGGAUAACGUAGCGAAAGUUACGCUAAUACCGCAUACGAUCUAUGGAUGAAAGCGGGGGAUCGCAAGACCUCGCGCGAUUGGAGCGGCCGAUAUCAGAUUAGGUAGUUGGUGGGGUAAAGGCUCCCCAAGCCGACGCUCUGUAGCUGGUCUGAGAGGACGUCCGGCCGCACUGGGACUGAGAACCGGCCCAGACUCCUACGGGAGGCAGGAGUGGGGAAUUUUGGACAAUGAGCGCAAGCCUGAUCCAUCCAUGCCGCGUGCAGGAUGAAGGCCUUCGGUUUGUAAACUGCUUUUGUACGGAACGAAAAGGUUUGACUUAAUACGUCGGACUCAUGACGGUACCGUAAGAAUAAGCACCGGCUAACUACGUGCCAGCCGCCGCUGUAA
rnacentral:rRNA from 1 species